ACUGCUGCUGCCAUCCGUAACCUAGCCUAGCACAGCAGAUGGCUGAGGGAGGAGCAGGAGGUGAAGCGGGAUGAGGCAGGCGCAUCCGCUAGCGCUGCGGGGAGGGCUCUGGUUGCUGCUGCAGAUCGACUACAAGCUGCUUUACCCCAUCUGUUCCUGCCAGUCUACCAGGCCCCCAAUUGCAAGUGGCGGGAAGGUGCUCUGGUUGCUGCCGCGGAUCCACUACAGGGUCUACACAGUCGUUUCUUCCUGCAAGUCUCUGAGGCCCCUCUAUUGCCAGCAGCCAGAGUAUGCAUGUGCUCAAUUAGAUGAAGAAAUCUAUAGUUGUUGCUGCCAUCCGUGAUACCUUGCCUAGCACGGUGGAUGGCUGAGGGAUGAGGGACGAGGAAGAGCUAAAGCGGGAGGAGGCAGGUGCAUUCGGAAGCGCUGCGGGGAGGGCUCCGGUUGCUGCUGCAGAUCAACUAGAAGCUACUAUAUGUCAUCGGUUCCUGCCAGCCUACGAGGCCCUCAAUUUCAAGGUGAAUGGAACUUUCCAAGCCCAAGAGCAUGCUGGUAGUACUCUGUUCACAAUUUCUUCCCAUGUUAAAGAGCAUGGUUCAUUGAGAUGGGCUUGUUGCAUGGUGCUGCUCUGUACUUCAUGGCUACUAGAGAGGUGAAUGGAACUUUCCAAGCCCAAGAGCAUGCUGGUAGUACUCUGUUCACAAUUUCUUCCCAUGUUAAAGAGCAUGGUUCAUUGAGAUGGGCUUGUUGCAUGGUGCUGCUCUGUACUUCAUUGCUACUAGAGAGGUAAUCAUGCCGUCUUUAGGAGGGUAGUAUGUCUCGCUUACAUGUCUUUGUUGCAUUGAAGCUGGAGUGACCAAUUUUGUUUGAGAACAAAUAAUCUGAUGGAAUCUUAAAUGAUCAUUGUAU